UACGUAGGAGACGAGCGUUGUCCGGAGUUACUGGGCGUAAAGGGUGCGCAGGCGGCCUGGCGCGUCGCGAGUGAAAUCUCCUGGCUCAACUGGGAGGGUGGUCGCGAGACGGCUGGGCUUGAGGCUCGGUGAGGGGCGUGGAAUUCCGGUGGAGCGGUGAAAUGCGUAGAGAUCCGGAGGAACACCGACGGCGUAGGCAGCGCCCUAGACGAGACCUGACGCUCAGGCACGAAAGCGCGGGGAGCGAACAGG
rnacentral:rRNA from 1 species